GCGGCACCCUUCGGCCGACUUGGAGGCAAACACUAGCGCCCCCUGCUGUUCAGUCUUCGCUAGGCAGUCAGAAAUACCUGGGGCCAGUGGGUGGGUGAGAAGCCAGAGGCCUGGAUUUUUAAAUUGCCAGAGUGUGCUCAUCGAAGCCCGAUCCUAGCCUUCCUUGCGCCUCUGCCGUCAGAUAGGCACAAAGGUGCCAUGGAACCCGUAAGGCAUCUGCACGGGUACUUCCGCUCGCCCCAGCUCUGUGAAGCUCUUGGCAUCCAAGACAAGGAGGAAGUUGCUUUCACUCUAGAAAAAGAACACAACACUGAAAGUUCCCUUUUCGUUUGAAAGUCCAUCUCCACUGGCUGAGGGAGGAAGCAUGUCUUCUUAAUUACGUUCAUAUCUGUCCCUGGCACCUGCUGCAAAGCCUCACCUAGACACCCACAAAUGUUUGCCCAGUCGCUGAACUAGACCAAAACACCAUGACUAAAGAAGUUCACACCCUAAAGCAAAGAAAUAAAACUGUGCCAAUCCUCCUC
rnacentral:lncRNA from 1 species